rnacentral:rRNA from 1 species
UACAGAGGUCUCAAGCGUUUGUUCGGAUUCAUUGGGCGUAAAGGGUGCGUAGGUGGCGCCGUAAGUCAGGUGUGAAAUUUCGGAGCUUAACUCCGAAACUGCAUUUGAUACUGCGGUGCUUGAGGACUGGAGAGGAGACUGGAAUUUAACGGUGUAGCAGUGAAAUGCGUAGAGAUCGUAAGGAAGACCAGUGGCGAAGGCGGGUCUCCUGGACGAGU